AAGUCUCCCAAACAAAGUUUGGAGACUUAUUGUUUUUGCUCAGUUCUUAUUAUUUUUAUUAUUCUUCUUCUUCCUCUUCCUCUUCCUCUUCCUCUUCCGCCACUUUAAAAAAUGAACUUGUCCACAGCGUUUCUCCAAAACCACUUGUCAGAUUGACUUAGGAUUUCAUAAAAUGAUAGACUAAUAUGUCUAGGUGAGCCAUCAAUCUUUCGUUUGUGCAUUGGGGUCUAUUAAGGGGUAUUUUGGGGGGUAGAAAGGAGGGAGGGGUUUACUAUAGAACCCUAUGGGAUUUUAUUUUCUAAAAUUUUCAAAUGAAUAUAACUUGAAAACUGUAAGUGAUAGAUACACGCAGUCUUCAGAAAUGAUUAUAGGACAAUAAAACAAAUCACAUGAAAUAUAGGGGGAGUCCCUGGGGGUUCAUCCCCACCCCCUUCAAUUUGAGAAUAUGCCUUUAUCUUGUAAACGGUCCAGAUCCCCUCCCCUAAACCAUAUAUAUUCUUGAAUGGGACGAUAAAACAAAUCAAAUGAAAUUAAAGGGAGGUCCCCGGGGGUCAUCCCCACCCCGUUCAAUUUGGGAAUGUGCUAUUAUCUUGUAAACGAUCC
rnacentral:lncRNA from 1 species